GGGGGGAGCCGGGGGAGCCUCGGCCGCCCGUGGGCACCGUGGCCCAGCCCGCGCCUUCCUCGUGCGGUGCCAGGCGCCAGCCUCCCCUUCCUUCCCGAACUCGCGUUUUCACCCUCCCCCGGCUUCGGGAGACCAACCGGGAGCCGCUCUUCCCCCCCACCCCCUCUCCCACCCAGCUCCCCGUCCCCGCUGCCUCCUUAUCCAGCCCCCCAAGGGCAGAGGGGCCUGGGUGCCCAUUUUAGAGCUGGGCAAACUGAGAGCCUAAGACGUCCGGUACGUACACCGGGAGACGGGGGAGCAGGAUCUUGACCAGCGCUGCGCCUGGGCUCGAGGGACCGGCAGGCCCUCCCCAGACACCAAUCCGGCCGGUGCUUUGGCGGUGGAAGAACCCGGAGCCCUCCCUUUUAAACCUAGAAGCUUCACAGAUGAACUUCGGGGCUCUGACAGCACCCCAUCUUCCCCUGAAGUAGAAGACAAAAUCUCCUACAUGCAGUUUGUCUUGGGAGAGUAUCCACGGCUUUCAUCAGAAAGAAUUCCAGAACCAUAAGAAGCUCAGAGUUGGAAGGCGCCAUCUUCAGUUGAGUCCCCUACCCGCACCCCAUCAUUGCUGAUAAAUGCUGAUGGUACUCCGUAGUUACAUCAUCCUACUGGUUCGUCUCCUCUGGCCGCAGUGGCAGUGACUCUGGUGUGGUGAGGCAGCCCACAGUGUUUGCAGGGCUAGAAGCAUUCUAUAACUUAAUCUGGUUGGUGGUUACACAGCUGUAAACAUAAGUGCUUCAUCUUCAAGAAGAUUCAUCGAAAGGACUUUUUGACAAGUCUAUAGAACGGACUGAUGACCCCAAAUGACAUCAGCACAAGAAGAUGACAACAGCAGUGGUGGACAGCUGGCCCAAGAAUCCAGAUCAGGCCUGUCCCAGUUCAGCCACGCAGCAGAAGGGCUACUCCUCCAGUCGUCCGAAGGAAGGAUGGCAUGUCAUAUUCGUAAUAUAUGUUUACUAAUACAAUUGACCCUUGGACAACAUGGGUUUGAAAUGCGUGAGUCCACUUAUACGCAGGGUUUUUUUUCAGUAAAUACAGUUGUACAUGAUCCAUGGUUGGUAGAAUCCUCAGAUGCGGAACCUGGGAUACAGAGGGCUUUCUGUGGGACUCGAACAUCCACAGAUUUCGGUAUCCAUGGUGGGUCUUGAAACCAGUCCCCCACGAUACCAAGGGGUGACUGUACUCAUCCAGAUCAUUGAGAAAAACAUUGAACACCCUCCUGCCUCCUGAUUAACCUUUCCUUCGGGGCUCAGAUGAGCUAUUCAUUCUCCUGGGGGCUCCCCACCCACUCAGAGCUACCUCAGGUGCCUGCCUUGUGUUCCCUCCAUCUCCUCACUUACCACUCUUUCUUGUGGUCACUAGCUGGGGUGUCCAUAAUGUGAGUCAACUUGCAACAACUUGGGGAUGGAGGUUGGGUCACACAUUAAUCCUUUUAUCUCAAGGGCGUAGUACAGCACCUGCCUGGCACAAAGCAGGCCUUCAGAAAAUACGAACUAUGCAAAUAUGUGUUUAACUACCACAACCUUGAACUUAUGAAAAACUGAGGCAAGAAGUAAUAUUCAGAGAGGGUUUCAUGAGCGGUGUACAAUUCAUCUAUUUAAUCAGUAGUUCUCAGACUUGGCUAUACAGAUUCUGCUUGAUUUAUGAUGGAGUUUCGUCCCCGUAAUCCCAUUGUAAUUUGAAAAUAUCAUAAAUUAAAAAUGCAUUUUAUGCACUUAACCUACUGAACAUCAUAGCUUAGGUUAGCCUACCUUAAACGUGUUCAGAAUAUUUACAUUGGCCUAUACCUGGGCAAAAUCAUCUAACACAAAGUCUAUCUCAUAAUAAAGUGUUAAAUAUCUCAUGUAAUUGAUUGAAUGUUGUACCAAAAGUGAAAAACAGGAUGAUUGUUUGGGUAGAGAAUGUUUGUAAGUGUACUGGUUGUUUAUGCCUGUGGCUGACUAGGAGCUUGGGCUCACUGCCACUGCCCAGCACCCCGGAGAGUAUUGUACUGUAUCUCGAUAGCCCAGGAAAAGAUCAAAAUUGAAAAUUCCAAAUAUGAGGGGGAGGGUAUAGCUCAAGUGGUAGAGUGCAUGCUUAACAUGAAAGCUAAAGGUCCUGGGUUCAAUCCUCGGUACCUUCUCUAAAAAUAAAUAAACCUGAGGGGAAGGUACAGAGAUUUCCCAUAUACCCCCUGGCCCCACACAUACAUGAUCCACCCCUGUUAUCAGCAUCCCUCAUCAGAGUGCAUAUUUGCUAUGACUGAUGACCUAUGUUGACAUGUCACGUCAUAAGUCUCCCAGUGUCCAUAGCUGACACUAUGGUUAACUGUUGGUUAUUCAUCCCUCCCCUUAUAUUUCUUUCUUUUUGUUUAAACAUUCAAGUUAAUAAAUGAUUUUGUUAAAGAGAUUUACACUACCUCUUGGAACUAGACACAGUUCUGUAUGUGUUCCCUUUGUUGCAUGACAAUAUUCAAGACAGCUUUGUAAAUAGGCAGAGACAAGUUUUUAAAAUAACAUCUAGUCUUUCUAGAUGCAUAGAGUCUCACAAAGUAUAAUUUUGUAAAUAAUUCAUUGUAAAAUUUCAUGGUUUCUUUGUUUUCUUCAAAUGUUAGCAAUGAAAUUCAUGUGGUUGUAGAUUUCUUGAGCUAAACAUAGUUGGGAUCUGUUUAUUGAGUUGCUACUGGAAAGCAAAAGGUAAAAAGGUAUUUUCUCAUCUAAAAUAAAGUUUUACAUUUAAAAAAAUAAAAAAAUAAAAAAUAAAAAUAAAUAAACCUAAUUACUUCCCCCCGCCAAAAGAAAAAAAUUCCAAAUUUGGUUCCCACUGAAUGCAUAUCGCUCUCACACCAGUGUAAAGUCAAAGUAUCAGAAGUUGAAACAUCAUAAGCUGGGGAUCAUAUGUAUGUUAGAAUCAUCUGGAAGCUCAAAAAAGUCAGACUUUCUGGUUUAUGGAGUCUUGCGUUUGUAUUUUGCAAAAGCUCCCUGGAGCUUCCUAAUGCACAGCCAAGGCUGGAAACCACUGCUCCAGACAAUGAACAUUUUAUCAACAGGAACUGCUUGUAUAUCUUGCACCAUUUAGGCCCCUCAUUAAAGUGUCUUUAUUGACUCAUCCUGGGUUUUGUGCUUAGUUUGAGCAACUCUAAGAUACGUGAGUGGAGUUACGGUAGGGAUGUUGCCAAUGACCCCUGAAGUGGGUAAGAAGACACAUAGGAGAGAUUUCUAUUGGCAUCUGCACCAGGAAAAGCUGUGAUUCUCCUGAUGAACCAGUUCAUGUUUAUCUUAUGGAUGCUGGAAAUCAUUUAAUGAACACUGUUUUCCAAGCUUGUACUAGCUGCCGGAAUGCUCCUGGUCAGAGUCGUGAUCCACCUUUAUCACCUGGAUAGCAUUUUAUGGUACAUGUGUUGUGCCCUGACCUGAUUCCUCUUUAUUUUCUGUCCUUUUCUCUUCACCCUCCUUUCCUCAUUUUUUCCCAUAAUGCUUUUCAAUCAAUAUAAUUCACACAGUAUAAAAUUUCCUCUUUUAAAGUGUACAAUUUGGUGGUUUUUAGUGUAUUCACAUCACCACUACGUAAUUCCAGAACAUUUUCAACACCCCCAAAAGAGAUUCUUUGCUCAUUAACAGUCACUCCUCAUUCCUGCCCUCCCCUUUGGCAAUCAACAGUCUACUUUCUGCCUAUGGAUUUGCCUAUUCUGGACAUUUCAUAUAAACGGGAUCAUAUAAUUAUGUCCCCUUUAUUUCCAGCUUCAUUUAUUUAGCAUAAUAUUUUCAAGUUUCCCUCAUGUUGUAGUACGUAUCAAUACUUUAUUCACUUUUUAAUGACUGAGUAAUAUUCCAUUGUAUAGAUGUACCACAUUUUGUUUUUCCAUGCGCAUUUGGGUUUCCAGCUUUUGGCUAUCAUGAAUAAUGCUGCUACAGACAUUCAUUUACAAGUUUUUAUGUGACCAUGUCUCAGUUCCCUUGGGUAUAUACCUACAAGAGGAUUUGCUGGAUCAUAUGGUACUUCUAUGUUUAACUUUUUUGAGGAUCUUUUCUCAUUAAAACCUUUUUUUUUUGUCUUAUGUAUUGUCUGUGUCUUUGUCAGCUGCUACAAAUUCUUCUUUUUGGGAGGAAGCAGAGUAUAAAUAAAUAAAUAAAUCACGAAGCACUCUCAAGCCAUCUGUUUUAAUAAUCUGUGCUAGAAUUUUGCCAAGAUUCUAUAUCAAGCCAUUUGGUCUAUAGUUUCCAGAAAUACCUUCUGUCUCUUUGUGAAAAUCAGAACAUUUUUUUAUCUUCGACGUUCUCAUCAUUUAUCCAGGUUGUUUUUCAGUCCUACAUGCAAGGUAUUUCAUGACUCUGUGUCUAAUUCAUCUGACUCUGGUCCCAGAAUUCAUUUGCAGCCACGUAAGCUCUCAUCUAUCUUGUGAUGUACUUAAAUUUUCAUAUCCAAGGAAUUCAUGUACAUGGUUAAAAAUAAAGUAGAACAGAAGAGCCAACAAUGAACAGUCCCACCCUCAUUUCUUCUCCCUCUAGUCCUGCUCCUUGAGGCAACUGCUUCUAAGUCUUUUAGCUCUUUUAUUCUGGGAGUGAUUUCUGUAUCUUUAAAUAAUGUGCUUAUGCUGCUGUUUCUGUGUUUCUCAAUUUUAAACAUCCUUUAUUGAUUUAUAACUAUGAAAGAUGAGGAUUUAAUUCAUAUAGAUCAUCCAACCAACCUCCCCCACCCUACUCCCAAUACAGUUAUACUGCAGUUUUUAUUUAGUUCCUCUAAAUAAAAUAAAAAUAAAUCUGUUGAUUACCCAUGUUGCUUUAAGUAACAUAUUUAUGUUUUUAUUUCUCAUUGCAUCAGCUAUUGAUAGUAGUUUUGACUCACUGUUUUGUAGAAUAUGGUUAUCACUCCUACCUCUCCCUUUUGGCUCCCCUUCUCAGCUUCUG